rnacentral:rRNA from 1 species
AGUACGGUCGCAAGAUUAAAACUCAAAGGAAUUGACGGGGACCCGCACAAGCGGUGGAUGAUGUGGAUUAAUUCGAUGCAACGCGAAAAACCUUACCUACCCUUGACAUGUUGGAAUCCUGAAGAGAUUUAGAAGUGCUCGCAAGAGAACCGGAACACAGGUGCUGCAUGGCUGUCGUCAGCUCGUGUCGUGAGAUGUUGGGUUAAGUCCCGCAACGAGCGCAACCCUUGUCAUUAGUUGCUACGAAAGGGCACUCUAAUGAGACUGCCGGUGACAAACCGGAGGAAGGUGGGGAUGACGUCAAGUCCUCAUGGCCCUUAUGGGUAGGGCUUCACACGUCAUACAAUGGUCGGGACAGAGGGUCGCCAACCCGCGAGGGGGAGCCAAUCCCAGAAACCCGAUCGUAGUCCGGAUCGCAGUCUGCAACUCGACUGCGUGAAGUCGGAAUCGCUAGUAAUCGCGGAUCAGCAUGUCGCGGUGAAUACGUUCCCGGGUCUUGUACACACCGCCCGUCACACCAUGGGAGUGGGUUUUACCAGAAGUAGUUAGCCUAACCGCAAGGGGGGCGAUUACCA